rnacentral:rRNA from 1 species
AUUGGUCAACCGAGCUUACAUCUCAUCACCCUGUGACAUACCUAUAACGUUGCCUCGGCGGGAACAGACGGCCCCGUAACACGGGCCGCCCCCGCCAGAGGACCCCCUAACUCUGUUUCUAUAAUGUUUCUUCUGAGUAAACAAGCAAAUAAAUUAAAACUUUCAACAACGGAUCUCUUGGCUCUGGCAUCGAUGAAGAACGCAGCGAAAUGCGAUAAGUAAUGUGAAUUGCAGAAUUCAGUGAAUCAUCGAAUCUUUGAACGCACAUUGCGCCCGCCAGUAUUCUGGCGGGCAUGCCUGUUCGAGCGUCAUUACAACCCUCAGGCCCCCGGGCCUGGCGUUGGGGAUCGGCGGAAGCCCCCUGCGGGCACAACGCCGUCCCCCAAAUACAGUGGCGGUCCCGCCGCAGCUUCCAUUGCGUAGUAGCUAACACCUCGCAACUGGAGAGCGGCGCGGCCACGCCGUAAAACACCCAACUUCUGAAUGUUGACCUCGAAUCAGGUAGGAAUACCCGCUGAACUUAAGCAUAUCAAUAAGCGGAGGAA